CACGUAGUUAGCCGGGGCUUUCUUCUCAAGUACCGUCACCCUCAGGGCAGUUUCUCCCCAAGGCGUUCUUCCUUGGCAACAGAGCUUUACGAUCCGAAAACCUUCUUCACUCACGCGGCGUUGCUCCGUCAGACUUGCGUCCAUUGCGGAAGAUUCCCUACUGCUGCCUCCCGUAGGAGUCUGGGCCGUGUCUCAGUCCCAGUGUGGCCGAUCACCCUCUCAGGUCGGCUACGCAUCGUCGCCUUGGUGAGCCGUUACCUCACCAACCAGCUAAUGCGCCGCAGGCCCAUCUGUAAGCCACAGCUUGCACCGUGUUUCUUGAUCUCCCCAUGCGGGUAAACCAUCUAUCCGCUCUUAGCUACCGUUUCCGGUAGUUAUCCCGGUCUUACAGGCAGGUUGCCUACGUGUUACUCACCCGUCCGCCGCUAACUUACCCCGAAGGAUAAAUCCGCUCGACUUGCAUGUAUUAGGCACGCCGCCAGCGUGUCUCGUGCGCGACGUCAACUAC
rnacentral:rRNA from 1 species